ACUAAUUACUCGUGCACAGUAAAAUUUUUCAGAAAAGAGCCUCCGUAAAAGAGAAACGUUUUCCAACUUCAAGGAUUGAGAUGGAAAAAUGAAAAAACCCUUUUCUUCUUUUUUCAAUCUGUAAAAAUACAUCUUCCAAACAUAAAGUUCAUUUUCUAUUUUUUUUUUGGAAAAAUAGAAUAAUACUCCUAACAGGCCUAUACAUCUUCUCGAACUGGGUGUAAAAGAAGAAGGAAACGCUAGGAUUCUAACAUGGGACUUCCCAUCGAUGAAAUUGCUGAAAAUAAGCACUCUAGUUAUCCUUUUCUUUUUUUCUUUUUUCUAAUUGAGUCCUAAUCCUAUGAUUGUAUUGAUUCAUGUAAUUUCAAGAUUUCAUUUUUAUUUUCUUUUUGAUGAUUUUUUUUGUUAGUCUGUGCAGGCCUUGCUGAACUAGCAAACUCUUAAUUAUCGAAACUACAAGCUUGUGAUUGCUGGUGAUGUUAGUAUAGGUGUUUAUAUAUCCUUUUGAGAUUCUGCUGAUUUGUUUUUAUUCUUGAUGUUUUUCGGAUUUGGGUUUGGUUUUUAUUGGCUGGACAGUGUUUUAUUCAUGGCCUUUAAAAGAAAAAGAAGAAGGAGGAGGAGGAAAAGACUGAUGCUCGUGGGCUGAUCGAGUUUUAAAACUAUAUUCAUGAUGAAACACGGGUUAAAUAGCUGGUUUAUGCUACAGCAGAGAUUUGCAGGUCAAGAAAUGACGGUGCGAAUCGGAAUAUUUGGUGGCGGAGCAGCUCAGAGAAAUCACCAAUGGCUGAUAGACUGGACACAUGCGUUCUUGAGAUUUCUUUCGCGUAUGAGAUGGGUGAAAGAACAACUGGCUGGUCUGACUCUGCGUCAUGUUGAGAAAAAAAAACAAAAAUAUUGAUGAGAUUGUCGAUGAAAUAAUAUUUCUUUUUUGUUGA